CACUACCUCAGCGUCGUUGUUUGAUAGGCUCUCAUCGAAGCCCCCCGGAAAGAAAUGAAAUCGAGGUCAUUAUUCCUGAAAGUCCAGAAUAAGGUUCAUGGUGAAUCUGAAAGACUGCGAGUUGAUCUCCAAACAGUGAGUGGAAGCAGUGCAGUGCAGUUCUUGGCAAAGCGUCAUUGUGGCCGAACGACGACUGGCGUCAAGCUGCCCUUGACCCUCCUGGCCGCCUGCAAAUGGAUGGCAGGGUGAAACGAAACGUGUUUGGAUCUUUCGGUACGGCCCGCAGGGACAGUGGGAAUUGUCCAUUACGGAUUUUCAGGUACUUUCCUUGAGAAUAUAUUUUUCUGUCAACUUUAGACUUUGACUCCCUCCUAAAAUCAUAUCUGUACUUUAUACUGCUUGUUUUUUUAACGAGGUGUUAAAAAGACAAAUAAAGGGAAGUGAAGUCCUAUUGGGGUCUUAUUCGAAGGAUAAAGACAGGAGCAGCGGCGACACAGCGGAACGAGAACCAGGGAGCAAGAUCGUUUCCGUCGGUGGCCUUACUGUCGGCUCUUGAGCCAGGCUAAAAUCCACCGGCUUCUCCGUCUCAGGCCCGGUACACGUAAAGAUACUCAGGUUGUUUUUGUCACGAUUUUGCCCCUUCCCGACAAAGGACAACAAACACUAGAUUAUGUUAUGAUUUUAUAAGAUUAUCUGAUAAAAGGAUCUUGUGGUCCAAGGUGUGUUGAGAAUGAAUUUGUCCCGAUAACGGUGUCCGAAACAGAUCGAGGCGACAGCGUUAAAUAUUAAACAUGUCCACUAUUUACGACGACUCGUGAGUCCUAACAAGUUAGCCCUGACUCCCGACUACCGACUUCGUGCAUCGAGACGUGAAACGGAAAGUAGCCAAUCAAGGCGCGACCUGAUUGAGGAGCAAAGAAGCGGCCAAAACGACAACAAACUAGCACAAAACAGCAGCCGUUAGCAUCAUUUGGGCGCUCACCUCUAGCUUGCUCGAUGGAUUACAAAGUCCAUGUUUUUUUCCACAUUUUUUAAAAUUCUUUAAUUAUUUCGAGAUUUUUCGGUAAAAAAAAUAAUCCCAAAACUAACAUCAUUCCCUGCUCUCGCGUGUCUUCUUCCAUGUUGUGACUUGUAUGUUUCUUCUUCUUCAUUUUUGUUAGCCCACGUUUGGUCACGGGUGAUUGUCUUGGAAGAUCGGAUUCUAGUUCGGUGGUGGAACAAAAACUUUCUGGGCGCGGUGUGCUGCGUUGACGUUUUCGCUCGUCAUGUCAAACUCCCCCCCGGCCCCACCCGUUGAAUCCGUCUGGCUGUCAGCUCAACACAGAACCCGACCCAUUCCGCUCGCCGCUGACCUGUCCGUGACCCAACUCUGCACUCUGCCUUCCCUCCUCGCUCGCUGGGGGGUUAGAGAGUAGAUCAAACGCUAACACAACUACUGUGACUGCGGCAAAGGGUUUGAUUGCGUCGUGGUGUGUGUGCGCGCGUGGUGACUUUUUGACACAAUUGUGGAAGCCAGAGAACGCCGGUGGGCCAAAGGGCGACGGCGUACUUAGCCUGACUUCGACCACUUUGCGACGGCCACCGUUCAGACUAAAGGCCGGUCCAUUAGGGACGGCGUGUUGGCCCGGGGCGGGGGCAAGUUGUGCACCAGGCGGGCGAAAAGCCAACGAUUUGUGGAUCAUUGCUUUACACAGCGGCGUGUUCAUUGUGUUCAUUUGGUCCGCAGCGGUCAUUUUAGCGUCAAUUUGCCCAUGUUCAGGGGACCGUCGAAGGAUAUCAAUGAAAACAAAUUCUGCCCCUGAACUCACUUUUAUUUAGUAACAUGAAAUUGGGUCUGCAUAUAUAUCAGGAUUGGACCCAUAAAAAGGCCUCAAGAAGCCUUGCCUGAAAACACACAGGAAGUGUAGUAUAUGUUUUAUGCUGGAAUUGUUCAUUUCCAGGAGUGCUUCAUAGGAUAGCAGCAAAGUUGUUGUUUAAAAAAUAAAUAAAUAAAUAAAUUUAAUUCAGCCCCCGAAGCUGGUUUCCCUUGGCAACAUGAAGUGUGAUCGUCAUGACGUGUCAUGAGUAGACUCCCAAAAAGUCUCCAGAAGCCAUGUCCAAAAAGAGAGAGAAAAAAGUUCACUUUCUGUUUGCAGCAGCCAUUUUCUUGUCACUUCCGCCAUUUCCAGGAGUCCUUCAAAACAUAGCAAUCGAGUUUUUUUUGUGUGAAAAUUCUGCCUCCCUUAGCAACAUGAUAUUUGAUAUGGAUGUCUCAUGAGGAGACUUGCAAAAAUGCCUGAAAAGACACAGGAAGUCUGCCAAUUUGGUUGGAUGUGGACAUUUUUGGGUCAUUUUGUCCAUUUCCAGGGGUGCUUCAAAAGAUAGGAAUGCAGUUUUAGUCCUCUAAUCCUAAUUUAGAGUUGCAUGCCACCUUGUGCCACAAUGUGCCAGGCAUCAUAUAAAAUGAUACGAUAACGGCAUAUUUGUAAAAUAUGUAAUUGCAUGCGGCAAUUAACAAGCGCCUGUCUGCUUCGGAGAGGCCAUUUUGUGUGUGAAGACGUUAAAUUACAUAAAGCAACAACAACAGACGGCUCACAUUGUUCGUGUGCAGCAAGUGGAAUUGACCACACACACCGUACUGUACUGUACACGCUCACAAACACACACGCACGCACACACAAUCAUCAUCAUCAUCAGCGCCAAUUAGCGCAGCUGUGACCUCACACGUCCGGGUCAGCGCUUCGCAGCACAACGGAACAAAAGGAAAAGUUGUCCCGGAAUGCGUGCUCCCAAUUAGCGAGGGCGCUGCGCGGCGCGGCGCACAAUGGCGCAGGUGAGAAGUUGGACGGGUCCGGGCGUCGCGCUUUCCACCCGCACAAUGUGAGGACAACGCAUCGCCUGUGACCCUCGCAGGCGAUGCGUUGUGGAAGACCCCGCGCCUUUCAGAGCCUGCCAACGUGACGUAACACCGUGGAAAUUGGGUUCUGGUAGUUUUUUCACAAAUAUCCCUCUUAAUGAAUCUACAGUAUGCGGCACAAGACCAAUCGGAAUUUCCUACACUCAAUUGCUGCUGGAAACGAUCCAGUUUUUCAGAUUUGAUGAUGAAAGAAGACGACGGUGCAAUUAAGCUGCAGUCGUCGUUCUUUGCGAAGGAUAAAGAAUGUAUGCCUGUGAGCUUUGUGAGAGGUUCUGUCAUCAUGUUGCUACUGUUUGUGUUCAAAUAUAAGUUGUUUACAAGUUAAUCAUUAAUGCUGGUUUUGUGAGCCCGUCUAUGGCGUUUUACAUUGUGGGUUAGCAAAGUGAUGUAGUUCGGUUGAAUCCGCAAUGUGAAAUUCUCUGUUUAAUUUGAAAAUAAACUUCGAGCGGGAGCUUGAGCAAGGCACUUGGCUUCUUUUGAAGAGCGGUUGCCACCGUCUAGCCCUCGUGACGCAAAUUUUUGCUUGCAACUCAAGACAAAAAAAAAACGGCUCCUGUCUCAAAAGAUUAAGUAUAUAAGUCGACGUAUAUCAGCUCAGUGCUUAAUUCAACAAUCCCACUUUUCACACCGAGACGGGAUUAUCGUUAUUUCAGUAUUCAUCCUUUUUUUUUUUUUUUUAACACUUUUUUGUUUGGUGUAUGCGGUGAGAUUUUCUCAUGUAAAAUGUGUGCCUCGUCUUAUUAUUAAGAAAAGAAGAAAAUAAUAACAAUAACAACCCAGAACUAACCGGAACCCGAACCCUCAACCAGAACCCAAUUCCUAACACACGAACCCACAACCUCUAAGCUAACACUAACCUCAACCAAAUCCCCAACCUAACCGGUCUCACCUACCCCGAGCCAUAACCUGCUAACCUUACCCUUAACCCCAACCUCCUUGAAAAGAUCAAAAUGAGGCUUAUUUGUUUCCGUUUUGUUGAAUUCAGCCCCUAAAGCCAGUGUCCCUUAACAACAGGAUUCUUCUUCUAUUUCCUGCCUGAAGUUACGUUGCGACAAAUGAGACGGCAACAUGACUCGCUGUUGAUGGCGCACGUGCGCCCAGGUCAAAAAGCGUCACGGGACCCGCGCCCGCCCUGGGGGCACCUUCCAAUCAAACUUCUUUCAGCGGCAAUUACGUCGUCCUAUUUGCACGAUGGUCUAACGACAUCCAGUCUGCACACGCGACGGCCGUACACUUCGUGUCGCAUGCAGCCGAAAAAAAGUGGCACAAAUAAUGACAUUGAGACUCAUCAUGUAGUUGAGCAACGAUACAUAUUUGUAUACAGUGGACAGUAAUAUUUGUAUAUAUUUAUAUUGGUGGUUCACCAACUGGAUUAUUUUUUUCUGUGAAAAACUCGCCCAUUUGCAUUCUGUGUGGUCUAUCUGAAAUGGCACAAGAUGGCACCAAAACCCUGUCUAAAAGGGAAAGUAGUACUGCACCUACCCUUUUUUUUUUUUUUUUUUUAAUCACAUAAUACGUUCCCGACAAACCCACAAUAAGUGAAAGUCCAUAUAAAACCAUACAAACCUUGUAAAAACAUGAGAUUUAUGAUAGCUUUCCCUAUACUACAUGCUUUUUCGUGGCUUAUUGGGAGUAUAUCAAUACUUAUUCAAGAAUUAUUGUGUAAAAAAAAUCAUUUUUUAAAAUGCAAUUAUAAUGGCCAUUAAUUAUUCACAGAUUUGCGCUAGUCACGGGGGGACAGGGAUAGCGGAUAGCGGCGGUACCUUUUCUCACUCUCUCGCUGUCAAGAAAUUUGAGACUUUCAUAUAUAACAUCACUUCGAGGAAAUGAAAAGAAAAAAGACUCUCUUGCUCGCCCAGUUUUCCAAAUAAGCGCUACGAGCCCGUGCUUGUGUCAAGCUGUUGAUUUGUCAUUCCCAGUCGACGUUUUACUGUAAAACCGACACAAGCUGACAAUGAGACUGAAACCAAACAAACCAUAUCGUGGCUCCCUUCAAAUGGCGCGCUGCGGUCCAGGUCCGGACCAAGUGGGAGCCUCAUGCGGUCAUUCGUUGUUCAUCGAAGAUAAAGUAUGUGCCGCCAUUUUGUUCUCACUGUCACAGACUGCAUACGGAUUUGAAUGGAAGAUAACUGCGCCUUCAUUCCGUGCAACCGAAGUCUGCUAGCUUAAUGCUAAACAAUAAUGCGAAAUCCCAUGGACAAGCUAACGGAAAUGAGCAUAGAAGUAGUAAGUAUAAACGUUCAAACAAUUGCUACUUGAACACACGCGCACAGAUUAUUUCUCGAGAUUAUAAAUAUUCACCUGGUGUGUGUGUGGGGGUCUGUAGCAAAUCUCCCGCCAUAAAGUUCGCUGUACUUGUCACUUAAGUGUGUUAUGUGCAUGUUAUUUUUUUUCGCACCCUGCAUGCGCUACAUUAUUGCUCGAUUUUCGAUGCGUUGAUUUGUUUCAUACAACUGGGAUACAUAAACGGGAAUAAAUCAUACUGUAAAUUAUGGGUUGUUGCGUUUUGUUUUGUUUCGUUUUUUUCUUGGAGAAACAGCAACGUCAAGCGUGAGCCGUCGUGGUUGUUAUUUGUCGGCCCGUUAUGACACUUGCCCGCCAAAGCAAAACACUCAAUAAAGCCCGGGGGCCAUGUGAACAUGACUUAGUGGGUCAAACGCAGCCUGCAGACAACACACAUGCAUUCGAGCAUGUGCUAGUGUGUGUGUGUUUGUGUACGUGUGCGUGCGUGCGUGCGUGUGUGUGCAGAAGCAGAAGGCACUAAAAAUAAACCAUCUGAAAUAUUUAACUUAGUGACCCAGAAAGGCGCCCCAGCGUAAUCGCAUGUUUGUACAAGCCGAGCGCGACAGCCAUGAUAUGAUGAGGCCGCUCGCGUCGCUAAUAACGCGUCAAACCAAACAUCCGUUCCACGUAAAAAACAAUCAUCACAAUUAUGUAUGAAGAACCUGAUUUCCGGGAUGCAGGUUUAUGUGUGACAAAAACGUAGCACACCUUGGACUUUUGUUCAGACAGGACUAUACAUGCAAAAUUUAUCAUAUUUUUUUUUCUAUAUUCUAUAAUGAAAUGUACAUUAUAGUUUUAUUUAUUUGUAUGAAACAUUAUUUUUCAUAGGCGGCACGGCGGGCGAUCGGUUAGCACACCUGCCUCCCAGUUCUGAGGACCGGGGUUCAAAUCCCGGCCCCGCCUGUGGGGAGUUUGCAUGUUCUCCCGGUGCCUGGGUGGCUUUUCAUCCCAAAAAUAUGCGUGCUAGGUUGAUCGGCGACUCUAAAUUGCCCGCAGGCGUGAAUGUGAGUACGAAUGGUUGUUUGUAGGUGCCUUGCGACUGGCUGCCGACCAGUUGUGGGUGUACCCCGCCUUCCGCCUGAAGAUAGCUGGGAUAGGCGCCGGCACGCUCGCAACCUGCGUGUGGAGAAGCGCUACAGAAAAUGGAUGGAUGGA